CUUGAGGACAUGUCAGGUAAUAAAUUAGGUGCGUGGCAUGUUAAAGACUUUAAGCUCCAUUGAGCUAAGUAUAGCGGAUUUUACUAGGAAAAAUCCUAAUCUUAAAAGGGGGGUAUGUAACCUUUUAUUUUAUUUUACAUAAAAUAAAAUGUUUCACUAUUAAAUAUAGUACGGAAACUUAAAAUAAUAAAAUUCUUAAUUCUAAGUAGUUAUGUACAAUUUAUUAUUUACAUAGAAAAAUAAUUAAACUAAAAGUCUUAAUUCUAAGUUACUACUAACAACAAGUAAAAUAAUACAAAGUUGAAACACUUAACUAAAUGGCCUAAAGAUUGUUACUGACUACGACAUACGCUCGCACGCAGCCGUAAAGUGAAAGUGUCUCGAAGGUCACGGCUCCUCGGCCUGCGCCCACUGGCCCGCUGGAUGCGUUCUGAGUAAGACGCGUACCUCUAAUUAUUGCUACGUGAGCCUACCUAUCUGUUGUCGUGCUAUCGUGCUACCUAAAACGUGUUGUACAUAAUAAUUAUUUACCUUGUGAAUCCCCCGUUAAUUAUCGGGGCCCAUCUACCCGGUACCGGACGUCUAUCAAGCCCCUUAUUUCUGCCUGGCCUGGCCUACUGCCAUAUACAACGUCAAGACACCUACGCCUGGAGCUACGCGACGGAAUUGCAGGACAGUGAUAGUGACGGAACUGAGUUACACACAUUCGGUCGUUUAUUGUGAACCCAUCUAUUAAACCUAAGAACCUAC